rnacentral:rRNA from 1 species
GUGGGGAAUAUUGGACAAUGGGGGGAACCCUGAUCCAGCCAUGCCGCGUGUGUGAAGAAGGCCUUUUGGUUGUAAAGCACUUUAAGCGAGGAGGAGGCUACCGAGAUUAAUACUCUUGGAUAGUGGACGUUACUCGCAGAAUAAGCACCGGCUAACUCUGUGCCAGCAGCCGCGGUAAUACAGAGGGUGCAAGCGUUAAUCGGAUUUACUGGGCGUAAAGCGCGCGUAGGUGGCCAAUUAAGUCAAAUGUGAAAUCCCCGAGCUUAACUUGGGAAUUGCAUUCGAUACUGGUUGGCUAGAGUAUGGGAGAGGAUGGUAGAAUUCCAGGUGUAGCGGUGAAAUGCGUAGAGAUCUGGAGGAAUACCGAUGGCGAAGGCAGCCAUCUGGCCUAAUACUGACACUGGGGUGCGAAAGCAUGGGGAGCAAACAGGAUUAGAAACCCUUGUAGUCC